AGAGCGAACGCUGGCGGCAGGCCUAACACAUGCAAGUCGAACGAACUCUUCGGAGUUAGUGGCGGACGGGUGAGUAACACGUGGGAACGUGCCUUUUGGUUCGGAAUAGCUCCUGGAAACGGGUGGUAAUGCCGAAUGUGCCCUUCGGGGGAAAGAUUUAUCGCCAUUAGAGCGGCCCGCGUCUGAUUAGCUAGUUGGUGAGGUAAAGGCUCACCAAGGCUACGAUCAGUAGCUGGUCUGAGAGGAUGACCAGCCACAUUGGGACUGAGACACGGCCCAAACUCCUACGGGAGGCAGCAGUGGGGAAUCUUGCGCAAUGGGCGAAAGCCUGACGCAGCCAUGCCGCGUGAAUGAUGAAGGUCUUAGGAUUGUAAAAUUCUUUCAGUAGGACGAUAAUGACGUACCUACAGAAGAAGCCCGGCUAACUCGUGCCAGCAGCCGC
rnacentral:rRNA from 1 species